rnacentral:rRNA from 1 species
UACGUAGGGUCCGAGCGUUAAUCGGAAUUACUGGGCGUAAAGCGUGCGCAGGCGGUUUUGUAAGCCAGAUGUGAAAGCCCCGGGCUUAACCUGGGAACUGCAUUUGAUACUACUGAGCUUGAGUACGGGAGAGGAUAGUGGAAUUCCCAGUGUAGAGGUGAAAUUCGUAGAUAUUGGGAAGAACACCGGUGGCGAAGGCGGCUAUCUGGACCGUAACUGACGCUGAGGCGCGAAAGCGUGGGGAGCAAACAGG